rnacentral:rRNA from 1 species
GGGCGCAAGCCUGAUGCAGCCAUGCCGCGUGUAUGAAGAAGGCCUUCGGGUUGUAAAGUACUUUCAGCAGUGAGGAAGGUGGAUAUGUUAAUAGCAUAUUCAUUUGACGUUUAGCUGCAGAAGAAGCACCGGCUAACUCCGUGCCAGCAGCCGCGGUAAUACGGAGGGUGCGAGCGUUAAUCGGAAUUACUGGGCGUAAAGCGCAUGCAGGUGGUUUGUUAAGUCAGAUGUGAAAGCCCGGGGCUCAACCUCGGAAUUGCAUUUGAAACUGGCAAACUAGAGUACUGUAGAGGGGGUAGAAUUUCAGGUGUAGCGGUGAAAUGCGUAGAGAUCUGAAGGAAUACCGGUGGCGAAGGCGGCCCCCUGGACAGAUACUGACACUCAGAUGCGAAAGCGUGGGGAGCAAACAGGAUUAGAUCCCCUGGUAG